rnacentral:lncRNA from 1 species
GAUGUGAGCAGCUUCUUUCAUAGAGCAGAGUCUGCUGGCUGGAAGAAUCUAGAAUUGUAACGAAAGAAAGGAAACAUGAAUGAGAAAUGACUAGACUUUACACCCGAUGCUUUGGAACAUUCCAGAGCCAAGAAAAGCCCUUCUUGUCACACAUGAUUUCUUAAUAAUUAGGGCCAGCUGUGCUUGGGCAAUUCCGGUCAAGCCAGAUGCCAAAACCCAUUGCAGACACAGGAAGAGCCUCAUCGUCAAGUCUCCAAACAAGCAGUCGAAAAUCAAAAGAGAAGACCAGCAAAGUUGGAAAGCCAAGGGCUCCUUCCUCCCAGGAAGAGCAAUGAAAAGUAAGGUAAGAUGUGCCAGCUCUUCUCCCCUGCCUGAUAUACCUGUGUGCCUGGAUGAAGGUAAGAGAUGCUCUCCCAGGUAUGAAGCCCCCCUGGAACCCCAUCAGUAUAAGGUCCAAGAUCAGCACAGCUAGAAAAGAAUAACAGGUCUUGCUCGUGUGACGGACACUGUGCAUCCCCUCCAAUAGCCAGUCUUGCCCC